CAGCACCUCAAGUGGUCAGGAUGAUUAUUGGGCCUAAAGCAUCCGUAGCCUGUUUUGUUAGUUUUCGGUUAAAUCCAUAUGCUCAACGUAUGGGCUGCCGGGAAUACUGCAAAGCUAGGGAGUGGGAGAGGUAGACGGUACUCGGUAGGAAGGGGUAAAAUCCUUUGAUCUAUUGAUGACCACCUGUGGCGAAGGCGGUCUACCAGAACACGUCCGACGGUGAGGGAUGAAAGCUGGGGGAGCAAUCCGGAUUAGAUACCCGAGUAGUCC
rnacentral:rRNA from 1 species